CCUACGGGAGGCAGCAGUGGGGAAUAUUGCACAAUGGGGGAAACCCUGAUGCAGCGACGCCGCGUGAGUGAAGCAGUAUUUCGGUAUGUAAAGCUCUAUCAGCAGGGAAGAAAAUGACGGUACCUGAUUAAGAAGCACCGGCUAACUACGUGCCAGCAGCCGCGGUAAUACGUAGGAGGCAAGCGUUAUCCGGAUUUACUGGGUGUAAGGGGAGCGUAGACGGCAGCACAAGUCUGGAGGGAAAGGCCGGGGCUUAACCCCGGAACUGCUUUGGAAACUGUGCAGCUAGAGUGCAGGAGAGGUGAGUGGAAUUCGUAGUGUAGCGGUGAAAUGCGUAGAUAUUAGGAGGAACACCAGUGGCGAAGGCGGCUUACUGGACUGUAACUGACGUUGAGGCUCGAAAGCGUGGGGAGCAAACAGGAUUAGAUACCCCUGUAGUC
rnacentral:rRNA from 1 species